ensembl:lincRNA Ino80dos INO80 complex subunit D, opposite strand
GAAACGACAACUUUCCUACCAUCUUGGAGGCAGAGGAGAGAGGGGCCAAGGGGAGAAGUGCACCGGCUCCAGCCAGAUAAAGUCCAAAUUUCUACCUCUCAUCGCUGGAAAAAAGCCCAUACUUGAGAAAAAGCAGGGAAGAAACAGAAAGGAGGUCGUGUGCUCCGUGGUGGGGAAUGUUUCUGCACCUUCUGAUGGAAAGAAAUCUUUACAAGACACAGAACACACGGAGAAUUUUAAUGUACACAUGCAAGAACAAAAGCCUGUGAAGCUGGAACGCAACUGUAGCAUUAAACAGCGGUGCCUCAAAACGUGGAUUUGUACCAACUAGAAGAACAACAUCUGCUUCUUCCACACCAGCAAUUGUGGUAUUGAGAAGAUAAUUGGAACGAAAACGAUAGCUGAGAACAGUUGUAACACUCAUCUUCAAUCCAAGUACUUAGGAGGUAAAGACAGAAAGUUCUUCUGCUACACAGAGUUCAAGGCCAGCCUGGGCUACAAGAAACUCAAAAAUCAAAAUGAAAUCCCAAACAGCAGCCUGGAGCACAGCUUACUGCUUCUCACCCAGCUCCUUCAGUGGGGAAGAUCUCUUCAGUGCAUAAGUUGUCAGAGUCAACUUUAUUAAGCAAGUCUUUCAGAGCUACUAAGGCUUCAGCAUCCACCAAGCCUCCUGCAAUC